AUGGCGCGUUUGCAGAGCUUCGCCGCCCUCGCCGCCGCGGCGGCGGCCGCCGUCCUCGCAGGCCUGCUCUACAGACGCAGGUGCAGCCGCUUGACCGCGCGGGUGCGGGAGCUAGAGGACUCCCUGGCCGACGCCGUGGAGAAGGCCGCCGCAGAGCGCCGCGGCAGGGUUCGGGCUCAGCAGUCACUGCGGAGGGCCCUGAGCGAGCAGGGGACGAGCCCGGAUAAGGGGAAGCAGGCCAAGGCCCCGGCGUCGUACCCGAUGGCGCCGAUCGGCACCGUGCAGUCCUGCUUCUCUACUAGGAAUGGUACACCGAGACAGCCUUUGGUGGUGCCUCUGGCCAGAGCGACAGUGGUGCUUAAUCCUGCCCGUGUUGCGGCCGAAGCGCUAGAGGGACUUGCUAGUUACUCGCAUUGUUGGAUCCUCUAUGUUUUCCAUCUGAACACUGAUCUUGAUAAAAUGUGGAAAGACCCUGCUAGAUCCAAGCUAAAAGCAAAGGUGAGAGUGCCUAGAUUGAAAGGGGGCAAGAUGGGGGUUUUGGCAACUAGAUCUCCGCAUCGGCCUAAUCCAAUUGGACUAAGUGUAGCAAAGGUGGAGGCAGUGGAUGGACAUGCGAUUUUGCUUUCUGGAGUAGAUUUGGUUGAUGGCACGCCUGUACUUGAUAUUAAACCAUAUCUGCCAUAUUCUGAUAGCGUGAAAGGUGCGACUAUUCCUAAUUGGUUAGAGGUCGAUGGUGCAUUAGCUGUGGAGUCUAUUCACUUUUCUGAGCACUUCAUUUCUUCACUUUCCAACUGCUGGGCGCAUGUACAAAAGCAGGCACUCUAUGCCUCAGCAGACGAGUUUCAGGAUCUGAUCAAGGAGGUGCUCUCCUGGGACAUCAGAUCAUUGUCUCAGCGACUCCGCCCUCACCAGGUGGACAUUGAAAGCAAGGCCGGUGAUUAUGGUAGCAAAGCUGAUGAGGAUUGCAGAAAGAAAGAAGAUUACCAAGCCACUGACUCCUGCCCGAUCGUAGUCUACCACCUUCAUCUGGAAGGCAUUGAUGUGUCAUACAAAAUCGAUGAAAAUUCGAACAUUGUUGUUGACAAUGCAGCCCUUCUCCCCAGUGCUGCAAACCAAAACAGGUGUAGCUACCUAACAUGGAGGGAUAAGCUUAGCACUUUGUAG
rnacentral:rRNA from 1 species